rnacentral:rRNA from 1 species
CCUACGGGUGGCAGCAGUGAGGAAUAUUGGUCAAUGGACGAGAGUCUGAACCAGCCAAGUAGCGUGAAGGAUGACUGCCCUAUGGGUUGUAAACUUCUUUUAUAUGGGAAUAAAAUGUUCCACGUGUGGGAUUUUGUAUGUACCAUAUGAAUAAGGAUCGGCUAACUCCGUGCCAGCAGCCGCGAUAAUACGGAGGAUCCGAGCGUUAUCCGGAUUUAUUGGGUUUAAAGGGAGCGUAGGUGGAUUGUUAAGUCAGUUGUGAAAGUUUGCGGCUCAACCGUAAAAUUGCAGUUGAAACUGGCAGUCUUGAGUACAGUAGAGGUGGGCGGAAUUCGUGGUGUAGCGGUGAAAUGCUUAGAUAUCACGAAGAACUCCGAUUGCGAAGGCAGUUCACUGGACUGCAACUGACACUGAGGCUCGAAAGUGUGGGUAUCAAACAGGAUUAGAUACCCGAGUAGUC